UGCAUAGAGACUUGUUACUGCCCUGUGGUUUUCUGUCAGUUGCAAAAGAGCAACCUGAGCCCAUAACACAAACCCAAACAAGGAAGUCUAAAAGACUGCAGUCAAGUGCGACAAAAAGAGGUGCUGGACAUGAAGUUCCAGAGGAUUCGCUGCUGGACAGCGAGGAUGAAGAUGUGGAGUAUUAUUACUAUCCUCCAACAAAGAUGGUGACUGAUGUUGGAACCCGAAACGAUGAUGAACAGGACAGAGACAUGCAAAUUGGAUCUGAAGACCAAGUGUUGGACACAAAUGAACUUGCCAGUGAGAGAACAGAAACUGACAAUACAGAACAGGACGUGACAAACGAACAUGUUUCAGUGCCAUCACUUAAUCCUGAAGCUUCACCAUUUGAGCCACACGAGCCAAAAGAGACCAUAUCAGAAGAGCAGCAGCUCAAGGGUGAGUUAACCCAGUCACCCACACCUCGAAUGUCCAUCCAACCACCAGACCAUGUCAUAAUAGAUAUUGGCAACCCUGAAACAUCUGAAACUGUUAUCCCUAUUGGAACGGACAACCAGGAAGGGAAUGUUGAAGUAAGGAGAUCAACAAGAGAAAGAACCCAUCCCAAGAGACUCACCUACCCAUCCUUAGGAAACCCACUUGUGGUAGUUAUGCAGUCUUUACUUGGUGGCUUAGACAACGCACUACAAAUAGCCCUUGAACGUGACUUUUAUGCCCCUGUAUUUGAUGCUUAGGAGAUGUUGACAUGCAGGGACGCAUGCAAUUAAUGGGGGGGAGGAUGUAACCCACAUGUAUAUGUGUGGUACUGUUAGUGGUAUUUUAUUUCUGUAGGAUUUUGUUUUGUUAUUUAAUGUUCCCAGCAAUUUAGUUAUAUUUUCAUUUUGAGUUUUCUUGUCAUACCAGAAACCGCCAGCAGGUGGCUUGUGAGUUACACUCUGGUUUAGACAGCAGAAAACUAUUAGAAGAAGAAGAAAACCGUAGCUGGCUGUAGCACGUUGUGCGAAUUACUGCAUGCUAUAAGAUAAAUUCUUGAUUAAUUCCGGUAACGGUUAAGAGAAAAGAAGAUCCGUGACCUGAUCCCUGGCAGUAAAACACAUUUUUACUGUGAUUUUCUCUGGUGGGUUUUUUUAGAACCCCAUUCAACUUUGAAGACUGUCCAGCUGCAUAGCAUCGCAGGCCUGGAUUGGAUUGCUGAGCUCCAGGGUUCAACUCAAGACCUGGGACUGCUGGAUCCGCUGCCUACUUUGCACCGGAUAAGAUAAGAUUUUGGAUCCAAAGAAACACAUGGCCAUUUAACAAAGACUUGACUGACUGACUUAAAUUACUGAACUAAGAAAACAAAACUUCCAAAGGACGAACUGAACUAUAAGGAAUCUGAACCAAAAGAAAAUACACUGCCUGAUAAAAAAGGUGGACACUUUAUGUU